AAACUGCUUUUGUACGGAACGAAAGGUUCUGCCCUAAUACGGUGGGAAUAUGACGGUACCGUAAGAAAUAAGCACCGGCUAACUACGUGCCAGCAGCCGCGGUAAUACGUAGGGUGCGAGCGUUAAUCGGAAUUACUGGGCGUAAAGCGUGCGCAGGCGGUUAUGUAAGACAGAUGUGAAAUCCCCGGGCUCAACCUGGGAACUGCAUUAGUGACUGCAUAGCUGGAGUACGGCAGUAGGGGGAUGGAAUUCCGCGUGUAGCAGUGAAAUGCGUAGAUAUGCGGAGGAACACCGAUGGCGAAGGCAAUCCCCUGGGCCUGUACUGACGCUCAUGCACGAAAGCGUGGGGAGCAAACAGGAUUAGAUACCCUGGUAGUCCACGCCCUAAACGAUGUCAA
rnacentral:rRNA from 1 species